rnacentral:rRNA from 1 species
AACGAACGCUGGCGGCAUGCCUAACACGUGCCAGUCGAACGAGACCUUCGGGUCUAGUGGCGCACGGGUGCGUAACGCGUGGGAACCUGCCCUUAGGUUCGGAAUAACUCCCCGAAAGGGGUGCUAAUACCGGAUAAUGUCUUCGGACCAAAGAUUUAUCGCCUUUGGAUGGGCCCGCGUUGGAUUAGCUAGUUGGUAGGGUAAAAGCCUACCAAGGCGACGAUCCAUAGCUGGUCUGAGAGGAUGAUCAGCCACACUGGGACUGAGACACGGCCCAGACUCCUACGGGAGGCAGCAGUGGGGAAUAUUGGACAAUGGGCGAAAGCCUGAUCCAGCAAGGCCGCGUGAGUGAUGAAGGCCUUAGGGUUGUAAAGCUCUUUUACCCGGGAUGAUAAUGACAGUACCGGGAGAAUAAGCUCCGGCUAACUCCGU